rnacentral:rRNA from 1 species
GGUUAAGUUAAUAAGGGCGCACGGUGGAUGCCUUGGCACUAGGAGCCGAAGAAGGACGUGACAAACGACGAUAUGCCUUGGGUAGCUGUAAGUAAGCGAUGAUCCAGGGAUUUCCGAAUGGGGGAACCCAACAGGUACUACCUGUUACCCGCAUCUGUUAAGGAUGUGAGGAGGAAGACGCAGUGAACUGAAACAUCUAAGUAGCUGCAGGAAGAGAAAGCAAAAGCGAUUGCCUUAGUAGCGGCGAGCGAAACGGCAGGAGGGCAAACCGAAGAGUUUACUCUUCGGGGUUGUAGGACUGCAAUGUGGACUCAAAGAUUAUAGAAGAAUGAUUUGGGAAGAUCAGCCAAAGAGAGUAAUAGCCUCGUAUUUAAAAUAGUCUUUGUACCUAGCAGUAUCCUGAGUACGGCGGGACACGUGAAAUCCCGUCGGAAUCUGGGAGGACCAUCUCCCAACCCUAAAUACUCCCUAGUGACCGAUAGUGAACCAGUACCGUGAGGGAAAGGUGAAAAGCACCCCGGGAGGGGAGUGAAAUAGAACCUGAAACCGUGUGCCUACAACAAGUUCGAGCCCGUUAAUGGGUGAGAGCGUGCCUUUUGUAGAAUGAACCGGCGAGUUACG